UCUCACUUUCAAUUUUUUUCUUUCGUACCAUAAAACACAUGACAAAAUAAAAACAACAAAGAGACAUUUGAUGAGAGACGAGAUGUGUGAAAAUGCAUGAGAUGGGACAGCGGAAGAAUAAAAGAGGCGGCAUGAAGACGAGGAUGUUUGACAGAAAGAACAGUGCUUAUUAUCGGCCUCUGUGUAUUGGCGAAUUGGGAGUACAAAUCGUAAUAAUUCAUACUUCAAAGAGACAAAAUGACAAGAGAAAAGUCGGUCAACCAUGAGCAGCAAUAGUUACAAGAGAAAAGGAAAGAGUUUGUAUGAUUAAUACAAAGUGUCAUGUUCAUGUUUUUAUUCGUGUAAAAAUGGCUCAGUUUUAAGUUGGAGAUUACAAUAUUUCUCUUAAUACUUUCUGACAUUUUGAGACCUUUAUCACAAAAUAUUCCAUUCAGCAUCUUUGAUUUAUUGGAAAUCUUAAGUCUCUAUUAUUUUGUGAAGUUAAUUGACUCUGCACAUACUGUUCAAUAUAAAUGUAAUAAACCUCUCCACCAGUAAUCAUGCAGUCCGGAAAUUGUUGAGGACAAGUUUGGCACAAGUAGACAGAACUAUAUUAUUUACUGUAUAUUAUUUAUCAUUAUGGCUUCAUACCUGCAACCAUAAUAUGCCAUGAUCAGAAUAGUUUUACUUAAGUCAGAGCAUGUUUGUGACAGUUCACCACCAUAUGCAGUUUGCCUGAAAUGACUCCCGCACUGUCCAAGCAGCACAGUGUUUAUUUAUUUAUUUAUUUUUUUGAGGCUUGUAGCCACUAUAGUUAGCCAAAAAACUAUUUCAGGUUUUUGGAACCAACCCUAAAGGAAGAAGAAAUCUGGAAUCUGUUCAUACGUCUACCCACCAACCUGGAAGAAAUUUAGAUUUCUUUAAAUCCUAACAUUUUGCUGAUGAUGAGAAUGACACAGUCAAAUAAAGGAAAAGAUGAGUCUGCCCUGUUCUGCCACUGUGGUUGCUUGCUACAGUUUCAGCUCAAACCCAAGAUAUUCAACCAACAGAUUCUAAACAGUGACGUUUAUUGGAGAAGUGCUAGAUGUUGAAGAAGGGUAAAGCUGCUCAUCAUCCACAGAAAACCUGUGAGACUUUGCUGCACUGACUUUUUUAUCAUCUGGUUUCAUGGACUACAAGAAAAAGAUUAAAGUGUAUCUGGAUGACCAAGUUUUUCAUUCAGGAUUAUAUUAAGAUGGACUAUUUCGUGUGGAGAGCAUAGUAAAGAAGAGUGGUGGCAAAUAACAGAUACCAAGUCCGAUGAACUGGCACACGUGAGCAAUGGACACAUCCUUUUUAUUCACAAACGUAACAGUUUGACGAUUCAUUCCCACUUCUCAUUCCCACAAACAAGUGAUGCCAGGACAAUACGCGGAGAAAAGGAGACAAAAGAAGUUUGCUUGUGUGAACAAGCAGGACAGAAAUGUUAUAUAGACAAGAUCCUCAUGUUGGAUUUAACCCUGAAUACUAAGUAUAAUUUUGUUCCUAAAGAUUCACAUAAUUCCAGAAUUUUGACAAGUAAAAAUCCACUUUUUUUGUGAGACUGAAUAAACAUUGGUUCACUUUUUCCUGAUAAUAUAUAACAAUGCAGAGAAAACGAGUAAAUUCAGGCGCCCAGUAUUAUUCACUUUCAACACUGAGCUAUGAUACAAGUUAGUCCAGAAAUCUUUUGACCAACCACAGAAGUAGUUGCAGUAGCUGCUGCAGACCUGUGACUUCUAAUUUCUGAGUAUUUUUAGCUAGGUAUUUUUAAAUACCAGAUAACUUGUUUUCUCUUUAUCCUAAAUAAUAUGAGUUCAGUAACUAUUCUAUAUAAUAUUAUGCAGGCAAUAUCAUAACAGCACAGACUUUCGCAUU